rnacentral:rRNA from 1 species
UACGAAGGGGGCUAGCGUUGUUCGGAAUUACUGGGCGUAAAGCGCACGUAGGCGGACAUUUAAGUCAGGGGUGAAAUCCCGGGGCUCAACCCCGGAACUGCCUUUGAUACUGGGUGUCUGGAGUCCGGAAGAGGUGAGUGGAAUUCCGAGUGUAGAGGUGAAAUUCGUAGAUAUUCGGAGGAACACCAGUGGCGAAGGCGGCUCACUGGUCCGGUACUGACGCUGAGGUGCGAAAGCGUGGGGAGCGAACAGG